GGAAAUUGUGGAAAAGUUUUGAGCCUCAUGGCUUCUUUCUCCAUCCUCAGCUUUGGAUGCUUAGUGCUUGGACUGCCUGAGAGUGAAAAACUGGAGGAAGACUGUUGGCAGUAGAGCUAUUGACAAUGCAACCACUGGGUAUAAGCUCUGCAAAUUGGAAGUAGUUUCCCAGUUGGAACAAGGAGAGGAACUGUGGAGAGAAGGAUUAGGAUUUCUCUGAGGACAGAGUCCAGGAAUGGAAAAUGACCAUAAAAAGGAAGAAAUGAUAGCCAUGCAACAUAUCUGCAAGAAGGAGACCUCUUCCAUCCAGUCAAAACAGCAGAUUUCUUACACUGGAGAGGAUCACUUUGAAGAUAAUGAUUUGGGAUAUUUCAUUCACUUCACAUUGACUUACAAGGGAAAGACACCCUAUGAGGACAAACAAUUUUAAAAAAUUUCUAUUACCAUUCAUUCAUCGACAUAAGCAAAUUCAUACUGGACAUAAGUCAUAUGACUGUCAUCUAUGUGGAAAAGUCUUCAGAAGUAAUUCUGUCCUUAGAGAACGUGAGAAAAUGUACACUGGAGAGAAGACAUAUGGCUGCCAUCUAGAAGGGAAAGACUUCACUGAUGGUUCUAUCUGCAGACAACAUGUGAGAACUCACACUGGUGAGAAAACAGAUGUCUGUCAUGAAUGUGGGAAAGACUUCACUCAUAGUUCUAAACUCAGAUGACAUGAGAGAACACACACUGGAGAGAAACCAUAUGUCUGUCUUCUAUGUGGGAAAUCCUUCAGUCAAUGUGGUAACCUUAGGCAGCAUGAGAGAACUCACACUUUGGAGAAAUCAUUUAUCUGUAAUGUUUGUGGAAAAUCCUUCAGUCAACAUAUUCACCUUACACAACAUGAGAGAAGUCACACUGGGGAGAAAUCAUAUGUCUGCCACCUAUGUGGGAAAAACUUUAGAUAUACUUUUGCCAUUAGGAAACAUCAGAGAACUCAUUAAAAUGUGCAUUUGGAAGAGUCUUUAGCCACAGAUAUAAUCUUUUAAA